AGAUACCCUGGUAGUCCACGCCGUAAACGGUGGACGCUGGAUGUGGGGCCCAUUCCACGGGUUCCGUGUCGGAGCUAACGCGUUAAGCGUCCCGCCUGGGGAGUACGGCCGCAAGGCUAAAACUCAAAGAAAUUGACGGGGGCCCGCACAAGCGGCGGAGCAUGCGGAUUAAUUCGAUGCAACGCGAAGAACCUUACCUGGGCUUGACAUGUGCCUGUCGACUGCAGAGAUGUGGUUUCCCUUCGGGGCAGGUUCACAGGUGGUGCAUGGUCGUCGUCAGCUCGUGUCGUGAGAUGUUGGGUUAAGUCCCGCAACGAGCGCAACCCUCGCCCUGUGUUGCCAGCGGGUUAUGCCGGGAACUCACGGGGGACCGCCGGGGUUAACUCGGAGGAAGGUGGGGAUGACGUCAGAUCAUCAUGCCCCUUACGUCCAGGGCUUCACGCAUGCUACAAUGGCCGGUACAACGGGAUGCGACAUGGUGACAUGGAGCGGAUCCCUUAAAACCGGUCUCAGUUCGGAUCGUAGUCUGCAACUCGACUACGUGAAGGCGGAGUCGCUAGUAAUCGCGAAUCAGCAACGUCGCGGUGAAUGCGUUCCCGGGCCU
rnacentral:rRNA from 1 species